AUGGGAUUCAAAUGCCCCGACAGGAAGAAUGUAGCUGAUUUCCUUCAAGAGGUGACUUCUAAGAUGGAUCAAAAGCAAUACUGGAUUGGUGAUGAAAAUAAGUAUCAAUACUGGCCAAUAAAGAAGUUUUCAGAAUCCUUUCGUUCAUCCUAUCACCCUCAACUUGUCGAAGAUAGCCUCUACAUGCCGAACAAUAUGGGAAAACACAAGGAGAUUAAAAAAAGUGCAACCCGUAGUAUCUCCAGAUGGAAUAUUUUCAAAGCAUGCUUUUUAAGGGAAGUAUUAUUUCUCAAAAGAAACUCCCCACUUCACAUAUUCAAGACUAUACAAAUAGUUAUUCUGGCUUUUGUGAUUUCAACGGUUUUCCUUCGAACAAAUAUGAAACAUAAAAAUGUACUUGACGCCAACAAGUACAUGGGGUCCCUCUUUAUAGCUAUUGUGAUAGUAAAUAUAAAUGGUAUGACUGAGAUUGCAAUGACAAUAAAGCGACUCCCGACUUUCUACAAGCAAAGGGAGUUACUAGCAUUACCGGGAUGGGCACUUCUUUGUUCAAUUUUCCUCAUCAGCAUCCCAAUGUCACUAGUAGAGACAUGUCUUUGGACCAGCCUAACCUACUAUGUGAUUGGCUAUGCACCUUCCUUCCUCAGAUUUAUCCAGCAGUUUCUGGUACUUUUUGCGACACAUCAAAUGUCAAUGGGCCUCUAUCGUUUCUUAGCAGCAAUAGGAAGAACACAAGUAAUGGCAAACAUGCUAAGCACCACAGCUCUUAUAGCAAUGUACAUAUUUGGAGGCUUUGUCAUAUCUAAAGAUAAUCUUCAGCCAUGGUUGCAGUGGGAUUGGAUAUCCCCAUUCACCUAUGCACAAAAUGCUGUUGCCCUAAAUGAGUUCCUUGAUGAAAGAUGGGCUACUGAGUUUUACUAUGCAAAUGCUAAUACAGUUGGUGAAGCUAUCCUUAAGAUAAGGGGGUUGCUCACAAAGUGGCAUUGGUAUUGGAUUUGUGUCAUCAUUUUAUUUGGAUUCUCGAUGGUCUUCAACAUCCUCACUAUAUUUGCGUUGGAGUUCAUGAAAUCUCCACACAAGCAUCAAGUUAAUGCCAGUGCAACGAAGUUAAAGAUGGAUUGCAAGAACCACAAAAUUGGAACUAGCAAUACAUCAACUAGUAAACUUGUGCUCCUGUUUCAGCCUCUUUCCAUUUUCUUUGAUCAUAUCAACUAUUUUGUCGAUAUGCCUAAGGAGAUGAUUAAGAAUGGAGUAUUAGAGAAAAAACUUCAACUGCUACAAGAUGUAAGUGGUGUUUUUAGGCCAGGAGUAUUAACAGCUCUGAUGGGGAUCACCGGUGCUGGAAAGACAACAUUGCUCGAUGUUUUGGCUGGAAGAAAAACUGGAGGAUAUAUUGAAGGUACUAUUAGGAUAGAAGGAUACCCAAAGAAGCAGGAGACAUUCUCAAGGAUCUCAGGUUAUUGCGAACAAAACGAUAUUCACUCCCCUAACAUGACUGUCCAUGAGUCACUACAGUUCUCUGCAUGGCUUCGACUGCCAGCAAACGUCAAAUCUCAUGAAAGAGAUAUAUUUAUAGAUGAAGUAAUGGACCUAGUUGAAUUAACUGGAUUGAAGAAUGCCAUGGUGGGUAUGGCAGGAGUAACGGGCCUAUCAGCCGAGCAGCGAAAAAGGCUAACAAUAGCCGUGGAGUUGGUAGCUAGUCCCUCCAUCAUAUUUAUGGAUGAGCCGACCACUGGUUUGGAUGCCCGUGCUGCAGCAAUUGUCAUGAGAACAAUAAGAAAGACAGUAGACACUGGACGAACUGUUGUAUGCACAAUACAUCAGCCAAGCAUUGGGAUAUUUGAAUCAUUUGAUGAGCUUUUGCUUAUGAAAAGAGGCGGUCAAAUCAUAUAUAGUGGUUCAUUAGGUCCGUUGUCCAGCAACAUGAUCAACUAUUUCGAGGGUAUACCUAGUGUUCCUAGAAUAAAAGAGGGACAAAAUCCAGCAUCAUGGGUAUUGGACAUAAGUUCACCCACAACAGAAUAUGAUAUUGGAGUGGACUAUGCAGAAAUUUAUCGGAGCUCCUACCUAUACAGGGACAACAUGAAUCUAAUUACUGAGCUUGGGCACCCAAAACCAAACAUGGAGGAUCUAUAUUUUCCCCGAGGAUACUGGCAGAAUUUUAUGACACAAUAUGUGGCUUGCCUAUGGAAACAAAGAUGUGCAUACUGGAAAAACGUAGAACACAAUGGUGUUCGUUUUCUAAACACGUUUGUUGUAUCAAUUUUGUUUGGAGUUGUAUUCUGGAAAAUUGGCUCAACCAUAACACAACAACAAGAUGUAUUCAACAUACUAGGAGUUGUAUAUGGAUCAUCACUUUUCUUGGGCUUCAAUAAUUGCACCAGUUUGCAACCGGUUGUGGUAAUGGAGAGAGUUGUUCUUUACCGAGAAAAGGCGGCGGGCAUGUACUCUACCUUGGCCUACACCAUAGCUCAGAUGGCAAUUGAAUUGCCUUAUAUCCUUGUCCAAGUACUCGUAUUUGCCUCGAUUGUAUACCCAAUGAUAGGUUUCCAGAUGACCACUGUAAAGUUCUUUUGGUUUGUCCUUUACAUGAUGCUAAGCUUCAUGUAUUACACACUAUAUGGGAUGAUGACAGUGGCACUAACACCUAACCUUGAGAUGGCUGCCGGAUUGUCCUUCCUUAUCUACGUAUUUUGGAAUGUAUUCUCCGGCUUCAUCAUUGGAAGAGAGCUGAUCCCAAUAUGGUGGAGGUGGGUGUACUGGGCUAAUCCAGCGGCAUGGACAGUAUACGGGCUCAUGUUCUCACAAUUGGGUGAUCGGAUGGAGCUGAUCCGUGUGCCGGGGCAGCCAGACCAAACGGUGCGGGAGUUCCUCGAGGGCUAUCUUGGCCUUGAGGCUCGCUACUUCCACCUUAUCACCUACCUGCACUUGGUCGUCAUCGCCCUCUUUGCCUUCCUCUUCUUCAUCUUCGUCAAGCACCUAAAGUUCGAGCAAAGGUAG
rnacentral:rRNA from 1 species